AUCUGACUACGGAUCAGAAGGUUAGGGGUUCGAAUCCCUUAGGGCGUGCCA
rnacentral:tRNA from 1 species